rnacentral:rRNA from 1 species
UAGGGAAUCUUCCACAAUGGGCGAAAGCCUGAUGGAGCAACGCCGCGUGUGUGAUGAAGGGUUUCGGCUCGUAAAACACGGUUGUAAGAGAAGAAUGACAUUGAGAGUAACUGUUCAAUGUGUGACGGUAUCUUACCAGAAAGGAACGGCUAAAUACGUGCCAA